GACGAACGCUGGCGGCGUGCCUAAUACAUGCAAGUAGAACGCACAGUUUAUGCCGUAGCUUGCUACACCAUAGACUGUGAGUUGCGAACGGGUGAGUAACGCGUAGGUAACCUGCCUGGUAGCGGGGGAUAACUAUGGGAAACGAUAGCUAAUACCGCAUAAUAUUAAUUAUUGCAUGAUAAUUAAUGGAAAGGUGCAAUUGCACCACUACCAGAUGGACCUGCGUUGUAUUAGCUGGUAGGUGAGGUAACGGCUCUCCUAGGCGACGAUACAUAGCCGCCCUGCGUGGGUGGUCGGCCACACUGGGAGUGUGACACGCCCCAGACUCCUACGGGAGGCAGCAGUAGUGAAUCUUCGGCAAUGGGCGGAAGUCUGACCGAGCAACGCGGCGUGCGUGAAGAAGGUUUUCGGAUCGUAAAGCUCUGUUGUAAGGGAAGAACGGGUGUGCGAGUGGAAAGUUCACACUGUGACGGUAUCUUACCAGAAAGGGACGGCUAACUACGUG
rnacentral:rRNA from 1 species